GAAAAUGAGUAAUUUGUGUUAUAUGUUAUAUUCUAAUAUUACGUAUGACUAUUUGUAUAUUGUUUUAUAAUUUAAUUUUAUAUGUAAUCGCAUGCACAUAAUAUCUUGCGCACAACUCUUUGCGCACAACUCUGCGCACAUCACUUUGCGCACAACACUUUCCGCGCAACAUUUUGCGGGGAAUGUUUUUCUAUUUCACUUCAUUAAUUAACUGCUAUAUACAUAUAUACUAUAGUUAAACAAUGAACAUGUGAAUGCAUCAUACAGGAUAUGAGAAAAAAAUGAUUUCCAAGUAAGUUCUUUAUAGAAUAUUUUUUAUUUGCUCGGUUCCUGUUUUAUACAAAACAUCUAACAAACACAGAUGCUUGUCGCUGAAGUGCUUUUAAAGUUUUUCUUUUACGGAAGCAACUAAUCUAUCGACUUUGCAUUUAUCGAACGAAUCUUUUGUCACUUUUCUCGUUGGAUAUGCUAAAAAGAUAACUCGCGCUUGUUGAUUGUAUUUGUGUAUAUAAAUAUGUAUGUAGUAUAUGAGCGUGAGUGUGUUGUAUGCAUGUAUAUUUGUGAAGGAGUGUGAAUAUGUUUGUAUGUAAGUAUGUUGUAUAUAAGUAUGUUGUAUGUAAGUAUGUGUGUUUGUUGAUGUAAGUGUGAAUGCGCUUGUAUAUAUUAUAUAUAUGUUUUUAAAUGACGCAUUGAUCUUUCGUAAUCGUCGAUCUUAAAAGUUCGUAAUAAAACGUGGAAUUAAAUACUUUAACGCUAUGCAAAA